UACGUAGGGGGCAAGCGUUGUCCGGAUUUACUGGGCGUAAAGAGCGUGUAGGCGGCCAGACAGGUCCGUUGUGAAAACUCGAGCUCAACCUCGAGACGCCGAUGGAAACCGUCUGGCUAGAGUCCGGAAGAGGAGAGUGGAAUUCCUGGUGUAGCGGUGAAAUGCGCAGAUAUCAGGAAGAACACCCGGUGGCGAAGGCGGCAUCCUGCGG
rnacentral:rRNA from 1 species